CAUGUAGAAAUGUUAAAUGGGCAGAUUGGACCAUACAUGAAAAAGGUCAAAACAUGCUGUGAUCCAAGCCACCCAAAGUUUAAUUGAAUCAAAAUGGGUUUGGAUCAAGAUAAGUCAAAUGAUGAGUCAAAACCCGAUAUGCUCAACAUGACCGAACCUACCCUCCUUUUUUAUUUUGCUUUUUUGAUUAAAUAUUGAAAGUUAGACUUAUUUUUCUUAAGUUAUUAGUUUAAGUUCUUACAAAUCUUCAUAAUUCUCAAUCUCCAAAGAACAACCAGAUGAAUUUAUACCUGAGAGAUUCUUGAAUAGCGAUAUCGAUUACAAGGGUCAAGAUUUUGAGUUACUUCUAUUUGGUGCAGGUAGAAGAGGUUGCCCAGGUAUUGCACUUGGGGUUGCAUCCAUGGAACUUGCUCUGUCAAAUCUUCUUUAUGCAUUUGAUUGGGAGUUACCUUAUGGAGUGAAAAAAGAAGACAUUGACACAAAUGUGAGGCCUGGAAUUACCAUGCAUAAGAAAAACGAACUUUGCCUUAUCCCUAAAAACUAUUUGUAGAUUAUAUCAAGACGUGGAUCUCGGGCUUAAUCUGUGAGGUCAGCUAAAAUUAUUGUUUUUGACUCGAAUUAUGUAUACAUAUUUAGAACAACUUUAAAAUGUAUGCAUACAAUAGAAUCCACUAUUAUAAGAGUAUUGUAUUUGCCUUUCA